rnacentral:rRNA from 1 species
UACGUAGGGUGCAAGCGUUAAUCGGAAUUACUGGGCGUAAAGCGUGCGCAGGCGGUCGCGUAAGCCAGAUGUGAAAUCCCCGGGCUUAACCUGGGAACUGCAUUUGGUACUGCGUGGCUGGAGUGCGGCAGAGGAAGGUGGAAUUCCUGGUGUAGCAGUGAAAUGCGUAGAGAUCAGGAGGAACACCGAUGGCGAAGGCAGCCUUCUGGGCCAGCACUGACGCUCAUGAACGAAAGCGUGGGGAGCAAACAGG